rnacentral:rRNA from 1 species
GAUGAACGCUGGCGGCGUGCCUAAUACAUGCAAGUAGAACGCUGAAGGAGGAGCUUGCUCUUCUGGAUGAGUUGCGAACGGGUGAGUAACGCGUAGGUAACCUGCCUGGUAGCGGGGGAUAACUAUUGGAAACGAUAGCUAAUACCGCAUGACAACAGUUAUUGCAUGAUAACUGUUUAAAAGGGGCAACUGCUCCACUACCAGAUGGACCUGCGUUGUAUUAGCUAGUUGGUGAGGUAACGGCUCACCAAGGCGACGAUACAUAGCCGACCUGAGAGGGGGGUCGGCCACCCUGGGACUGGGACACGGCCCAGACUCCUACGGGAGGCAGCAGUAGGGAAUCUUCGGCAAUGGACGGAAGUCUGACCGAGCAACGCCGCGUGAGUGAAGAAGGUUUUCGGAUCGUAAAGCUCUGUUGUAAGAGAAGAACGAGUGUGAGAGUGGAAAGUUCACACUGUGACGGUAUCUUACCAGAAAGGGACGGCUAACUACGUG